CGGGUGGGUAACGCGUGGAUAACCUGCCUUACACUGGGGGAUAACACUUAGAAAUAGGUGCUAAUACCGCAUAAGCGCACAGAGCCGCAUGGCUCAGUGUGAAAAACUCCGGUGGUGUAAGAUGGAUCCGCGUCUGAUUAGCUGGUUGGCGGGGUAGAAGCCCACCAAGGCGACGAUCAGUAGCCGGCCUGAGAGGGUGAACGGCCACAUUGGGACUGAGACACGGCCCAAACUCCUACGGGAGGCAGCAG
rnacentral:rRNA from 1 species